rnacentral:rRNA from 1 species
AUUGAACGCUGGCGGCAGGCUUAACACAUGCAAGUCGAGCGAGCCGCGGACGGGUGAGUAAUGUCUGGGAAACUGCCUGAUGGAGGGGGAUAACCACUGGAAACUGUAGCCAAUACCGCAUACCAUCAGGUUUCCCCAGAUGGGAUUCGCGAGUAGGUGGGCGAGUGGCUCACCUAGGCGACGAUCCCUAGCUGGUCUGAGAGGAUGACCAGCAAUACUGGAACUGAGACACGGUCCAGACUCCUACGGGAGGCAGCAGUGGGGAAUAUUGCACAAUGGGCGCAAGCCUGAUGCAGCCAUGCCGCGUGUGUGAAGAAGGCCUUCGGGUUGUAAAGCACUUUCAGCGAGGAGGCGUUACUCGCAGAAGAAGCACCGGCUAACUCCGUGCCAGCAGCCGCGGUAAUAC